GCCUGGAUAGUUCAGUUGGUAGAGCAUCAUACUUUCAAUCUGCAAGUCUAGGGUUCAAGUCCCUAUUCAGGCA